rnacentral:sRNA from 1 species
CCCGGCAAGGACGCCGGAAAAGUUGUGUGUGUGCGAGUUUUUCGCUAGAAAAACUCGUGUUUUCCGAUAGACACGGACGUCUAUCGGAAAACGCCA